rnacentral:rRNA from 1 species
GAUGAACGCUAGCGGGAGGCUUAAUACAUGCAAGUCGAGCGAGAAGAUUUUAGCUUGCUAAAAUUGGACAGCGGCGCACGGGUGAGUAACGCGUACACAAUCUACCUUUCAGAGUGGGAUAGCCCUGGGAAACUGGGAUUAAUACCACAUAGUAUUCUAAAGUGGCAUCACUUUGGGAUUAAAGCUCCGGUGCUGAAAGAUGAGUGUGCGUACUAUUAGCUAGUUGGUAAGGUAACGGCUUACCAAGGCUACGAUAGUUAGGGGGCGUGAGAGCGUGACCCCCCACACGGGUACUGAGACACGGACCCGACUCCUACGGGAGGCAGCAGUAAGGAAUAUUGGACAAUGGGCGCAAGCCUGAUCCAGCCAUCCCGCGUGCAGGAAGACGGCCCUCUGGGUUGUAAACUGCUUUUGUAUGAGAAGAAACGCCUGGAUUUAUCCGGGCCUGACGGUAUCAUAAGAAUAAGCACCGGCUAACUCCG